GGCCAGGCUCCCUCUGAGCAGAUGUUGGUCCCUUUGCAGGCCUGCUGUGUGUGAUGAUUGCUAACCAGGUUAUGACAGUGAUCUUUAAUUUCCAUCAUUAUCUUCUAUGGAGUUCUUCAUUCCCACAUCUGUGGACCUUAAAAUCCUACCGUUGAGUGCCUGCCUUGGAUCAGCAGUCAGUUCGUUACCUUGGUUCUCAGACGAUGCUUGCAACAACGCCAUGCGAUUCGCCCACUCUUGGAGAAAAUAAGAGAAGUAUCCCUGAAGGAUGAAAUAUCCUCGAAUAUGAAAAGGUCUGCUCUCUGAAGACCAACUGUCUCAGUCUGCUUUUUGCUGCUGUAACAGAAUACCACAGACUUGGUUACAUUAGUUAUACACUCUGGAGGUGACUUGACCUGUCAUUGUGAACAAUUAUUGCUCUUGGACGACCCAGGACAUAGGCCAGCCAGUACGUACCCCAGUGUGUUGGAGAAUCGCGCUCGGCUUCUUCCUCUGUGCUGAGUCAUGAAAGUUGCCGGAGCAGGUGCAGUUACACAACCUCCAGACAUCUAGGCUUGCUGUCAAGGCUUCUGAUCAACAUGAGAUGACCGCCGUGUGGUAAACUGAUGAACCCUGACCCUGAUCAACAUGAGAUGACCGCCGUGUGGUAAACUGAUGAACCCCGACCCUGAUGAACGUGAGAUGACCGCCGUGUGGUAAACUGAUGAACCCCGACCCUGAUGAACGUGAGAUGACCGCCGUGUGGUAAACUGAUGAACCCCGACCCUGAUGAACGUGAGAUGACCGCCGUGUGGUAAACUGAUGAACCCCGACCCUGAUGAACGUGAGAUGACCGCCGUGUGGUAAACUGAUGAACCCCGACCCUGAUCAACGUGAGAUGACCGCCGUGUGGUAAACUGAUGAACCCCGACCCUGAUGAACAUGAGAUGACCGCCGUGUGGUAAACUGAUGAACCCCGACCCUGAUCAACAUGAGAUGACCGCCGUGUGGUAAACUGAUGAACCCCGACCCUGAUCAACAUGAGAUGACUGCCGUGUGGUAAACUGAUGAACCCUGACCCAUUAGGCUUUGGCUACAGAAUGUGGAAAUAAGUUGUGUUACUACAUGUGUGUAAUCCUAGGGUGCAGGACACCGGCCGGGAGGUUCCAUAGAGUGAUGGGUUCUGCAGGUAACUCAUCCUCUAGUCCUCUGUAAGCUCCUAGAAGGAAGAAAUUAUGUCCUUUAGACUAAUAAAAUUCCUCCAAACCAAAUACAGCACCUACUGUGAAGACACAAAGAUACUUUUAGAAUAGUAAAAACUUUAUCCAUUGAGAAAUUCCUUAAUGAAACAGUAUCCAAGAAGUCAUUUGCCAGCAGAUUUCUUAGAGGUGCGAUAAAGAAGAGGACAUUGCCAGUCGUCACAGCAGCUGCAAUAGCUCCUCUCUAUUGUUAAACAGUGGGAUAUCUUGUGCAGGUUUUCAGUUGACAAUCAAUUUUAAAGAUUAGUUUCGGUCCCCAUCAAUCAAUUAUUUAUUAACCCAUCAAUAAAAAUUUAAAUGCUCUGUGAGGUACAAUAGCUAUUAAAAGAGACAGAGGCACUUUCUGUGUCCAGAGGGGCUUUUAGUCUGCUCUGGAAAGCAAGAUGCGUGCAGAUGAGUGACGCAGUGCAUCGUGUGGAUGCAAAGGGAGGGACUCACAUGGGAACCAGAGGAGCUACGAAGGGAGGCAGUGGGGACUGGUGGGUCGAGACCUGGAAAUAACACAUGAAUAGGCAACAAAGGUUUCCUUUCCUCUUCCAUGCACUUCAGUCCUUGAAAAACGUCUUACCACGGAAUUCCACAGCGUACCAAGCGAUUCCACAGCUUGAUGGCACACUCUCCUUUCUCAGCAUUCUUGAAAAUGGCGUGUGAGCCAAGCCAUCUUACUGAGAAAUUACCUUAAACCAUUUGAUGAACCAAAAAUAUUUUGUAAUACCCAUCUCCGACAUUAGGUAGGCAAAUCACACAGAAACACCGAGGUCUUCUGAGUCAUAUUUAUCUGAAAAAUCACAGCUUGGGUGCAUGUGAAGCCAGAGGAGCACUCCUGGGGCCUGCGGUGCCAUCACUCAGCUCCCCUGGGCUUCACAUGGCCAUGGAGCACCCAGCAAGUGUAGGCUCUGAGCCUUCAGGGAGGGGCGGCAUCAGCCAGCACCAUCGUCUCCUGGGUCUUGUGCCUCUUCCUUGGUUGCGGUGUUGUCAGGGCCAGAAUUGGGCAAUUCCGGGUGACAUCCAGGUGUGGCUGCUGACACGGAGCACAGGUGAGGUUCACUGAGGUAAGUGGGCCAUGGCCUUGGGCUUCUAGUUCAGAGCACACCAUCCACUCAGCAUGUGAACCCAGCUCCAAAGCGUAUGUGUGCAUGUGUGUACCUGUGCACAUUGCGCAUGUCUCUGUGUAUGCAUGUGCUUUGAUGCAUGUUGAUGUACGGGUGUAUCUGUGUAUUGUGUAUGCACACACGAGCAUAUGUGUACAUGAAUUUGUAUUGCACAUGUGUUUAAUGCGAACACGUGUCAUGUGUAUGUGUUCACAUGCAUGUGUGUCUGUGUACUGUGUGCAACAGUGUGUGCAAGUGUGUAUAUGUGGGUUUAUGUUUGUACAGUGUGUGUAGUGUGUGUACACAUAUACACCUGUGUGCAUGUGUACAUGGUAUUUAAGCAUGUUUGCACGUGUGUUUGUGCUUGCAUGUGCUGCGUGUUUGUGUUGGUGGGAUGUGGGGAGGCUGCUGUGGAGACAAAAGCUGGAGAGAACUUGGUAGAGUAACCCAGGUCAGGAAAUGGCACCUGCAAAGGAAGGCUGGAGUGCCUGGGAUUCACGUUGAAAUGGCCAAUCCGUCAGCUGGGCUGGACACAGCCAUCACGCUGGGCAGCUGUGAGGUUAAAACAGAAAGUCUGGGCUGUGGGGAGGCUGAGAAUUGAGAUGCAUGUAUGAGAUGAGUCACGAGGGCCAAGUGGUGUGUGUGAGAAAGCAGGCACAGCACCACUAAACACUAAGGAGAUUUCAGGGGAGUUACGGGUGGAGGGAGGACAUCAGAUCUACCCUGGAAGUUAAACGUGUUUCGAGUGCAUUAAAUACUAUGGGCCACAGACGCCUUGUCUCCAUAUCUACUCUUUUAUAAAUGAAGUAAAGUUCUUGGGAAAUACUUUUCUCACUCUAAAGCUCACAAUCUAUCUUGCAAAAAAUAUUUUAAAUUCCAUCUCAAAUAAGCCAGGGUGAAAAGGGAGCCUGUGCACCAGACACUGCCAGCCUUGCCUGGCUCUCGCCUUCUUGCUCUUCCUUCCCCACCUGCUGGGGAUUUUCUUAACGAUGGAGAUGGGUUUGGGUUUGUCCUGCUGUGCUCUGCUCCCCAUUCCCGGAUCCAAGGUCCUGCCUCUGUCCUGUCCCCUGAGCCACCUCAGGGAUGCAGGGUCCCCCACCUGGUCAAGUGCCCAGUGCUGUGUUGUCAUUUGCAAGUUCUUCCUGUGACUGAACUCCAAAUGGCACUGGGACUGCUGACUCCACCCACUGGACAACCCGUGUUCUUGCUUUUGGGGUUUCUGAAACAGCCCCAAGACUCUGGGCAUCUUGAUUUUGCUCCCAUUGCUUCUCAGGACACCCUGCUCCUGUGGUUUGCAGCCCCGGCCUUCUCUUCGAGGACGCCUCUGCUCUUCUGCCUCACACUCGGAUUGGACCUUCUUCAGCACAGCCAGUGGCCGAGGCUUCCUCCCUGGGGCUCAGUGGAGCAGGACAGAUGCUGCAUCCAAACUCUUCCAUUGGGUUCCAGUCUGUUCCAGUCAUGCCCUUGAGCCUCUAAAGCUCCUAGGUGAGAGACGUAGCAGCUGACAGCACUUCCCACUUGAUUUGGGUGGACUCCAGCCUCCCCAGCAACAAUAAGAGAUCAAAAGCAUCGUUGAGGAAGCAGCUUGCUGAAACGCUGAGUGCCCGCCACUCUCAGGUCAGGUGGGACCGGCAGGCCAGCAUGAGUUCCUGAACACUUGGUUCUCAAUACUGGCCACAGCCACACUGUAAGGGGAAACAAGAGGGCACUGUAUGCAAACAUCUCUUGAACUCUGGAGUCUGCUCACCUUCCUGCCUCAAGCCCCUCUCCCACGUGGUCCAGUCACCAUUCUCCACAGAGACUACCCUAAAACCCAGCGACUCUCGUGUGCCUGCAGAAUGGCACAGCCCGUUCUCAUAGCAGCACUCCUGUUUAAUCAGAGGGAUGUUAACGACCAAGUCAUAUUUGCUCGAUUUGUGUUCAACAUAUUUCAUUUGUACCGAUAAAACUUAAAAAUAUCCCCACACAUGCAUUGCCUAUUAAAGAGUAUCUUCCAGGUACACCUCCCUUACACAUCAGUUAACUUGAUAAUUU
rnacentral:lncRNA from 1 species